rfam:Brassica oleracea var. oleracea cultivar TO1000 chromosome C2, whole genome shotgun sequence
AAACCAUGAUGGGGGCACUGAGUUGUGUAACCUUUGAACCGCUCCCACGCUUCACCAAAAGUUUCAAGAUUUUGUUGAUGAAAGCCAGAGAUCUCAUUUCGCAGUUU